ACUCCUACGGGAGGCAGCAGUAGGGAAUCUUCCACAAUGGGCGCAAGCCUGAUGGAGCAACACCGCGUGAGUGAAGAAGGGUUUCGGCUCGUAAAGCUCUGUUGUUAAAGAAGAACACGUAUGAGAGUAACUGUUCAUACGUUGACGGUAUUUAACCAGAAAGUCACGGCUAACUACGUGCCAGCAGCCGCGGUAAUACGUAGGUGGCAAGCGUUAUCCGGAUUUAUUGGGCGUAAAGAGAGUGCAGGCGGUUUUCUAAGUCUGAUGUGAAAGCCUUCGGCUUAACCGGAGAAGUGCAUCGGAAACUGGAUAACUUGAGUGCAGAAGAGGGUAGUGGAACUCCAUGUGUAGCGGUGGAAUGCGUAGAUAUAUGGAAGAACACCAGUGGCGAAGGCGGCUACCUGGUCUGCGACUGACGCUGAGACUCGAAAGCAUGGGUAGCGAACAGGAUUAGAUACCCUGGUAGGAUAGCG
rnacentral:rRNA from 1 species